AACGCUGGCGGCGUGCCUAACACAUGCAAGUCGAGCGGUAUAUACUUAAAUGAAACUUCGGUCGAGUGAGGGUAUAGAGAGCGGCGGACGGGUGAGUAACGCGUAGGCAACCUGCCCCAUACAGAGGGAUAGCCUCGGGAAACCGGGAUUAAAACCUCAUAAUGCGAGAGGUUCACAUGGACUUUUCGCCAAAGAUUUAUCGGUAUGGGAUGGGCCUGCGUCUGAUUAGCUAGUUGGUGGGGUAACGGCCUACCAAGGCAACGAUCAGUAGCCGACCUGAGAGGGUAAUCGGCCACAUUGGAACUGAGACACGGUCCAAACUCCUACGGGAGGCAGCAGUGGGGAAUAUUGCACAAUGGGCGAAAGCCUGAUGCAGCAACGCCGCGUGAGCGAUGAAGGCCUUUGGGUCGUAAAGCUCUGUCCUUGGGGAAGAAAAAAAUGACGGUACCCUUGGAGGAAGCCCCGGCUAACUACGUGCCAGCAGCCGCGGUAAUACGUAGGGGGCAAGC
rnacentral:rRNA from 1 species